rnacentral:rRNA from 1 species
CAGUAGCCGCGGGAACACAGAGGGUGCGAGCGUUAAUCGGAUUUACUGGGCGUAAAGCGUGCGUAGGCGGCUAAUUGAGUCGGAUGUGAAAUCCCCGAGCUUAACUUGGGAAUUGCAUUCGAUACUGGUUAGCUAGAGUGUGGGAGAGGAUGGUAGAAUUCCAGGUGUAGCGGUGAAAUGCGUAGAGAUCUGGAGGAAUACCGAUGGCGAAGGCAGCCAUCUGGCCUAACACUGACGCUGAGGUACGAAAGCAUGGGGAGCAAACAGGAUUAGAGACCCCUGUAGUCCCUGUCUCUUAUAC